rnacentral:rRNA from 1 species
AGAGUUUGAUCCUGGCUCAGGACGAACGCUGGCGGCGUGCCUAAUACAUGCAAGUCGAGCGGACCGAACGGGAGCUUGCUUCUGUUCGAUUAGCGGCGGACGGGUGAGUAACACGUGGGUAACCUGCCCGUAAGACCGGGAUAACUCCGGGAAACCGGGGCUAAUACCGGAUAACACCGAAGACCGCAUGGUCUUUGGUUGAAAGGUGGCUUUUGCUACCACUUACGGAUGGGCCCGCGGCGCAUUAGCUAGUUGGUGAGGUAACGGCUCACCAAGGCGACGAUGCGUAGCCGGCCUGAGAGGGUGACCGGCCACACUGGGACUGAGACACGGCCCAGACUCCUACGGGAGGCAGCAGUAGGGAAUCUUCCGCAAUGGACGAAAGUCUGACGGAGCGACGCCGCGUGAGCGAAGAAGGUCUUCGGAUCGUAAAGCUCUGUUGUUAGGGAAGAAGAAGUACCGUUCGAAUAGGGCGGUACGGUGACGGUACCUAACGAGAAAGCCCCGGCUAACUACGUG